rnacentral:tRNA from 1 species
GGGCCUAUAGUUUAAUGGCAAAACACUACAUUUGCAAUGUAGGAAUGGCAGUUCGAUUCUGCCUAGGUCCA